CCCUAUUAUUUUGAACGUGAAUGUAUUUCUUGAUUAGUAGUAGUUAUGCUCUUGAAAAUUAAAAAUUUUGGCGGUAUUUUAGUCUGUUCAGAGGAACCUGUCCUGUAGUCGAUGAUCCACGAGUUAACGUACCUUUUCUUUUAGUUUGUAUAUCGUCGUAGCUUGAAAAUUUUAUAAGAAUAAUAAUUUUCAUGAUUUUGUUAGAAAGGAUAUCAGAUCAAGGUGUAGCUUAUGAAGAGGGAAGUGAUGGGUUACAAUAAAUUUAUUUUGGGAUUUUAUUUUUUGAAAAUAGAUGAAUUUGGAUUUGAUAGUAAUUUUAAUUAGAUUAUUAAUAUGAUUUUAGCUCUAAAAUAUGCACAUAUCGCCCGUC
rnacentral:rRNA from 1 species